AACCGGGAGGAAGGUGGGGAUGACGUCAAAUCAUCAUGCCCCUUAUGUCUGGGGCUACACACGUGCUACAAUGGUGGGAACAAAGAGAUGCAAGACCGCAAGGUGGAGCCAAACUCAAAAACCCAUCCCAGUUCGGAUUGUAGGCUGAAACUCGCCUACAUGAAGCUGGAGUUGCUAGUAAUCGCGAAUCAGAAUGUCGCGGUGAAUACGUUCCCGGGCCUUGUACACACCGCCCGUCACACCAUGAGAGUCGGCAACACCCGAAGCCCGUGAGGUAACCUUUUGGAACCAGCGGUC
rnacentral:rRNA from 1 species